rnacentral:rRNA from 1 species
AUUGAACGCUGGCGGCAUGCCUUACACAUGCAAGUCGAACGGCAGCAUGAUCUAGCUUGCUAGAUUGAUGGCGAGUGGCGAACGGGUGAGUAAUACAUCGGAACGUGCCCUGUAGUGGGGGAUAACUAGUCGAAAGAUUAGCUAAUACCGCAUACGACCUGAGGGUGAAAGUGGGGGACCGCAAGGCCUCAUGCUAUAGGAGCGGCCGAUGUCUGAUUAGCUAGUUGGUGAGGUAAAGGCUCACCAAGGCGACGAUCAGUAGCUGGUCUGAGAGGACGAUCAGCCACACUGGGACUGAGACACGGCCCAGACUCCUACGGGAGGCAGCAGUGGGGAAUUUUGGACAAUGGGCGAAAGCCUGAUCCAGCAAUGCCGCGUGUGUGAAGAAGGCCUUCGGGUUGUAAAGCACUUUUGUCCGGAAAGAAAUGGCUCUGGUUAAUACCUGGAGUCGAUGACGGUACCGGAAGAAUAAGGACCGGCUGACUACGUG